AUAUGUCAUGAACUGAUAAAUGUUAUUACCAUUCAUUAUGACGAGAAAAAAAAAAGAAGACUAUACACUUCAGUAUAAAUGGUUAGAAAAUGAUUUGUCAAAGUCAUCAACGGUGACAUCUGUAAGUUGUUUUGACGACUAUAGACGUAUUCCACUUUACCCCACAUUAGAAGAUAUAACCAACGGACCACCAAUAUUAUAUGCAAAUAAUGUUGAUCGUCCAUAUAAAAAUUGUGAUGAAUAUCUAAAUAAUUUUUUCCGUCUUAUGCGAGAAGAUUUUGUUUCGGUUAUUAGAGAUAUUUUAAAAACUAUAAAUGCUAAUAAAAGUGUACUCGAACGAGAAAUGGACAGAUUAUGGUAUUAUAGUAAUGUUAAAAUUGAAAAGAAAAGAAAUUCAUCUGUAACAAUGUAUUUGCAAUUUGAUACACCUAAUAAAGCUAAGAAUUUUAACUAUGAAGAUAGUAAACGAUUUAAAAAUGGUGCUUUGUUGUUACUUUCAAAAGAUUUAUUUACUACAUUCAGUUUAGGAAUCGUAACUGAUACAUUUAAGUUAAAUAAAGGGAUAGUUGGUGUCGAUGUUGUUGAUUUUGAAGAAGUAAAUAAAUGGAACUCAAUUGAUUUAUUAGAGCCAGAUGUUUUUUAUGAACCUUACAGAUAUGUUUUGGGAGUAUUUCAAGACUUGUGUGAAACAAAUUUCCCAAUGAAGAAUUAUAUUAUACAUGGUAUUAAAGAAAUUUCAUAUCCUAGUUAUUUAACAGGAAAUUCUGUUUAUACUAUUAAUGGGAUUACAUUUGAUAUUCUUCAAAAUGACCAAUGGCCGUCAGCUGAAAUACUUAACAUGGAUAUCAAUCAAUAUGAAGCAUUUAAAGGGGCUUUAACUAAAGAAUUUACUAUGAUUCAAGGACCACCCGGCACUGGUAAGACUUACAUUGGAUUAGAAAUUGUAAAGGUUAUUAUUGAAAAUAUGUAUGAUACAAAUAAACUCAACCAUCCUAUUAUGGUUGUAUGUAUGACAAAUCAUGCCUUGGAUCAAUUUCUUGAGGGUAUAUGGAAAAUAACAAGAAAUAUUUCAAGAUUUGGGCGUGGAACUAAAAGUGAUAUUUUAGUGAACUAUAUUCCAACAAUGAGUGUUGCUCGCAAGGAUGAAUGUGCCAAUAUAUAUGUAGAUGCCAGACGAGACGUAAAAGCUUCAAUACAAAACGAAAAUCAGCAUCUGCUUAAUAUUAAAGAAGUUGAUCACAAUAAAGGUGUAGUUGAUUUGUCUUUACUUAUGCAAGUGCUUAACGAAAAUGGUUUUAAUACAUGGUUUCAAGAUUCAUAUGAUUUACUUGCAUGGUUGUUACAUGGUAUUUCAUCCGUGAAUGGUAUAAAUCCAAUAGAUUUUUUAAAAAAAGAUAAGUUACUUGCUACCCGAUUCUCAAAACUUGAUAAAAAUAAAACUAAUAAAAAAAUAUAUUGUAUAACUUUGAAGAGUAUAAAACUGUAUUGUACCCAAAUUCAAUGUCAACUAAAUAAUACGAGUUAUAAUCUAAAAGAUGAUUCUAAAAAAAAAGAUUUAGAAAAUGCAUUACAAUUAAUGAGAACCAUAGAAGAUUACAUAGCCAAACAUUUAAAAUUGUAUAAAUCCGGAUCUUCUGAAAAAUUUAAAAAUCGGAAUAACCGUGACUUAUUAGAAAAAAGAGAUCGAUGGUUAUUGUAUUAUUAUUGGAUUCGUUUAUAUAUAACAAAAGAGUAUAAUAAUAUUGAAAAUAUAAAAAGUACUACUCGUCAAUGUAGACGAGAUAUGAACAAGUUUAAGUCGAUUGGAUAUUUGAAACCAGUUCAAAAUAAGUAUGUGAUUGGUAUGACAACAACUGCCGCUGCUAAAAAUAGAUAUUUGCUUAAAAAUCUUAAAUGUCCAAUUGUUAUAAUUGAAGAAGCAGCAGAGGUUUUAGAACCUCACAUUGUGGCAUCAUUGUCAGAAUAUUGUGAACAUCUUAUUCUCAUUGGUGAUCAUAAACAACUGCGUCCUCAAACAGCUAAUCAUAUCAUAGGCAAAAAAUAUCGACUUGACAUUUCAUUGUUUGAACGUAUGGUAAAUAAUAAAAUUCCAUCAUAUGUAUUAGCAGAACAACAUCGCAUGCGACCAGAAAUUGCAGGCUUAGUUGCACCAGUUAUUUAUCCACAUUUAAGAAAUCAUGCAUCUGUUAUGGAACGACCAAAUGUUAAAGGAGUUUACAUGAAUUUAUUUUGCAUGACUCACAAUGUUCAUGAAGAAAAAAAUUAUGAGUUGUCCAGUUUUGUUAAUAGUGCUGAAGCAAAAUAUUUGGUUGCAUUGGCAAAUUAUCUAUUAAAGCAAGGAUAUUAUCCAGAAGAUAUUACUAUUAUGGCAAUGUAUAAUGCUCAAGUUGUAUACAUUUCUAAUUUGAUUAAAUCACCACCUUUUGAACAUUUGGCAGACAUUAGAGUUUCUUCAGUGGAUGGUUAUCAAGGCGAAGAAAAUGAAAUUGUUUUAUUGUCAUUGGUGCGUAGUAAUAAUAAUUACAGUAUUGGAUUUUUGAAAACCAACAAUAGAGUAUGUGUUGCCUUAUCUAGAGCUAGAUUGGGUUUUUAUAUUGCUGGUGAUUUGAAAUUACUUGCUAGAGUCAGUAAAUUGUGGAGUAGUAUUAAAAAAUACUUGAGUAAUAUAAAUGCAUUAGGCCCAAAAUUAUUGUUGAAGUGUCAAAUUCAUAACAAAUGUUUAGGAAGUGUAUCAAAUCAUUCAGAUUUUCAAAGGUUGACUGCAUGUCAAUUAAAAUGUAAUGUUGAACUUUCUUGUGGCCAUUUAUGUAAGAAAUUAUGUCAUGUUGAAGAUAGGGACCAUUUAAUGGUUAAGUGUUCAAAUGUCUGUAAUAGGAAAUGCCCUAGAGAUCAUAAAUGUCUUAAAAUGUGUUAUGAAGACUGUUCAUGCCAAGUGUUAAUUAAUCAAAUGAGUGAUUGUGGCCAUAUUGUUCAAGGAAAGUGCUGUGAUAUAGAAAAUAUGAAAUGCUAUAUGAAGGCAUUUAUGCAAAAAACCAUGUGGUGUAAAUUGUGGUUCAUGUACACAUUUGAUUCCUAUAAUAAUGAAAUGUGGACAUAUUUCAGAAUUCUCUUGUUCUCGAGAACCAGACACAGUAGAAUGUUUAGAAUGCAAGGGUUAUCAGAAACAUUUUAUGUCAAGGAAUGAUGUAAAUAGAUUAGUUCCUGAAAAAAAUAAUUCAGGCAUUAAGGUCCUGUAAGAAUAUUUGAAUAAGUAUAUUUUAAUAUGUAAACAAGGUCCAACAUAAAUGUGAUUUAAACCAAACAGAUUUUAUUGAUUGAUAUAUAUUUUAAUUAAUCAAAUUGUAUAAAAAUUGUUAUUUUGUAAUUUUAUUUUAUAACACACCUUUGUGUUCUAUAUAAGUUUUGUGACUACUAUUU
rnacentral:misc_RNA from 1 species